rnacentral:lncRNA from 1 species
CAAGAGUCUCGAUCGUCCUCCAACCUUUCAUCUGUCCCAGGAUUAAGAUUUCACCUGAUGACACGCCCAGAAGUGCGGGAAGGACUGGCCAAGUGGAAGUCUACCACGCGAUGCUCGUGGACUGACUGAGGAGUACCCAGCCCGGAGCGCGCUCAGCCUGUGGCCGGCCUCCUCACCAAGGGGUAGGCAGGUGCCCAGAAUGCUGGAGGAUGCCCGGUAAGGGCACCCGAGUCGCCAGCGGUACCUGUCUGAAGGCGCCCACCCAUCCCCGGAAAUUUCCUAUGCACAUACAAGCUUACUGUUGAAGUCCUCUCAUCCAAUGCACUCAGAACGGGACUGUAAGUCCAGCUGCUGUGUAUCAUCACCUCAGCCCGAUUGGUCCUCGGCCACACUUCACUUCAGCUUCUGAUAGGUCCUGGGCCAAGCUAAGCAGCAUCUAUGAAUCAUUUCACCUCCUGACUGGUCCCGGGCCAAGCCGAGUCACGCAUUCGCCAAGACAGCCCCCAGACUAAGCACAUUCCUUCCCCUUCCGUCCAUAAAAACCUGGACCCCAGCCUCAUGAUGGGCACUCCCGUUCGGGACCCCCUCUCUGCUGGCAGAGAGCUUUCUUCUUUCACCUUAUUAAACUUUCAC